AAAAAAACCAAUUCACCUUACAACUGUACUACAUUGAAUUAAGUUGGUUUGUACAUUCAACUAUUUUUCAUCAACUCGUUGAUUUUGCACCUUAAUAAAUUAUGCACAACGAACACAACAGUUACUCGAGCCGACAAGUCAACAAACCAGAAAAAAAGGUUAGCUCUUUAAGAAUUUGCUUAAGCAUUGAAUAACUAACAGAAAACGAGGCUGACUUACUCCCCCCAAUUGCUAAGACACAUAUCCAAUAGUUUCUCUUGAUUUCAUCGAGAGAUGGACAAUUGACCGGCUUAAAAUUCCGAGUCUCUUAAUCACCUCUUUAAAUUGCAUUGGAAAAGAUACAUGGAUAUUCAAGCACUUUAUCAGAAGAACUGGACCAAAAAAAUUCCUCAAGCAGGACCACCUCUCAGGCGAUCAAGAAGCAGAACAGGAUACUGUAUAAUCCAUCCAACAACUGGAAUUUGAUAGAGGAACACCGUAACAGAUGGCCAAAAGCCACUAAAAGAAAAACAUCAAAGCAACACCUUAGGCUCCCAAUAAGUAUGUAAUCCAGUUAGGGAAUUAUGAUAGACAAAGAACUAACCCAAAGAGAGCAAUACAGCCAUAUAUUUCCAAGAUUAUACCAACGAUAGGCCAGCGAACAAAAAUGAAGAAAAGCCCCAGAAGAAAAGACACAGAGCCCUGAAGAUAAAGGGGAAAUUUUUAAUACAUAUCCCUUUCAAAUGCAUCAAUACAUGAUGUCAUUCAGACAGGCAUUUCAAAUUCGUAUACAACAGCAGAAUCAAUAAUGAAAAUAGAAACAUGUGCAAAUUUGUUAUUAGGCAACUAAACAUAAUGGCAUGUGGUCGAAUAAAAUUGAAAUAGAACAAUGAACUAAUAAUCUUUCCCCUGACCCUCACAAAGCAAGUCUUUCCCCUGACCCUCACAAAGCAAGGAGACUAAAUCACUUGGAUGUGCACUUUGUUUUUUCCCCCUUUAUUAUGAUUGUAGAUUUUUAAUGUCUGUACUGAAAGAAAAGGGAAUGUUUGAGAGUACUUCACUAUGUGCCCACUCACAUGUUUAUGCUGCAAAAUUCAUAGCAUUUGAAAGAGAAUUCAAAGAUGAAUGAGAGAAGAUAAAUUUCCUGGCAUUAAAAUAUAACUCUGAAACCAAAAAAAGCAUCAAGGUUUUUUAAGCCAACACAACAAUAACAACAACAACAAAACAACUAAGCGUUAAUUCCAAACUAGUCAGUUUCAGCUAUCUGAUCCUUUUUUGCUAUUCAACUCUAUUAGACACCAGAUCCGUAUCAACACAACAAGAAAGGAAUUUUUUUUUUUUUUUUUACAUAAAAAAUUAUUAAAAGUAAUGAGAGUCCUGCACUAUAAAGCAGACUUAGUUUCCAUCAUCAAGUGCCUUCGUGGUGGUCUAUGCAAUCAACUGUUGGAGAUUGUAAGGGUAAGCAUUGUCUGGAACAGAGGCAUUAUAUGCUAAAUUUGCCAGGACUACAUUUGCUGCCUCGGUCGGCCGGUACCCGUCCCAGUAAAAGUAAUCAUUCACGUUCUGGCAUUUGGCUGUGUUAGGAGCACACAAUCCAUUGCGGUCUGUUUCGCAACAAGGAACUUGUGUCUGCUUGAAACCUGGGAAAACGUUCGCUGAAGUUAGAUCAUAGAUGUUGAUAUAUGUGAACUUUGCAUUCUUGUAGUUCUUGUUGAACCUGUCGACUACCAUACUAAUCCUGCUGUUGAAGAUAUGGAUAUCUGUGUCCAUCACAGAUAUACAAUGUUGAUUUGUGGCAUAAAAUUUCACUGCAGUUGGGCUGCAACCCAAUGGCCCAAGCCCAAAAAUAGCAAUUUUCCUGGCUCCAGAGUUGUACAGAUUGUUCAAGUGAUUGAACAAGUAACCAUCAACAAGUUUCUCCGCGUAUUCCUCUGAUGGAAUUUUUCGGGUUGGUUCUGACCCGUUGUUCGAUGGGGUAUAGUAGCCUACCAAAUAAUCAUUGCUGCCAAUCCCAACACUAUAUAGGCAUUGCUGGAGGUAAUAGUUAGACUUGAAUUUGCUGCCAAAUAUGUUGUCAAUGCGUCGGACUAUUGUCCUGUGGAAAUUUAUUUGUUGGCUAAUGGAAGUGACCUUGCUUCCUGCAGUUUCCACUUGCAUAAUUGCAGCACCAGAUGCAUAAUUUACACCUUUGAGAAUUUCUGUGCCAUUACCAACUUUUCUGAAAGGUGGGAUGUAAUCCUUCAACCCAACUUUCUCAGCAAGUACAUCAACCAUGGUCUUGCCAUUGCUGAACCUUCCUGUAGGACCAGCAGGAAAAUCACUCCCAUAUGGCAAGUAAUUGGCUUUGUAAGUAUCAAGGUCAUUAUCAUUGCCAUUAACUGCGAACGAGUCUCCAAAAAUGAAAUAACAAGGAACUUGCUCUUGUUGCUGUUGCUGCUUUCCAAAAACACAACAUUGCAGGUUUGAAACAGUUAACAGAACAAACACCAACCAGCGUAAAUCUGAUUGCUUGGUAAUCAUUGCUGAAAUGAAAUAUCAAGAAUCUGCAAGAAUUUGAUAAAGAAAAAAUGAAAGGGAGAGGAAGAAGGUAUUUUAAAAAAG
rnacentral:misc_RNA from 1 species